rnacentral:rRNA from 1 species
CGUGAGCAAUCUACCCUGGUGCGGGGACAACGAGGGGAAACCUUCGCUAAUACCGCAUGGUCAAGAGAUCCGAAUGGGUCUUUUGGGAAACGUGGCCUCUUUACAAUGCUACGGUGCCGGGAGGAGCUCGCGGGCUAUCAGCUAGUUGGUGAGGUAACGGCUCACCAAGGCAGCGACGGCUACGGGGUCUGAGAGGACGACCCCGCACAUUGGAACUGAGACACGGUCCAG